AAAGAACAGGGAGAGGAGGAGGAGAGAAAACAGACGGACCCUGGGUUAGUCCUGAUCUACAACUGAGGAAAGAGUGAUCUGACUGAAGAAGGACUCUGACAGAUAUCGUCAGAACCUGGAAGUACUGAACUGUGAACGCCCUUCCAUCCCAUCAGAACCUGCUGCUGUCAAACCACAGAACUUCUACAGUCAGAGCAGGUUCUAGAAGUGGUCCACAGGUUCAGGAACCAGAUCCAACAGGGCUCUGGAACCAUAGUGGGUUCAGGAGUCUGAGUGGUUCAGGUUUAGGCAGAGUUCAGGACCUGGUUCAGUAUUAACAGUGUCAGCAGUGGGUGGGGGGGGGACUCCUGCUUUCUCCUCUGACUUCAGGACUGACAGUGUGUUCCAGAAUGGGACCCAGACCCAGGUCCAGGUCCAGAUCCAGGUCCAGGUCCAGGUUUCCAUCUGUGCCACUGGUCCUGGUAGUAUUUUUGGUGUUUGCUGAUCCUGUAUUGUGCCGCAGUAACUCCUCUGGAUCUGAUCUGAUGAUGUCGGACCAGGCGGACCUCCACCACACUGAGCUCCCACUUGGACCAGGGCCGGACCAUCGGGUCCAGACCUCGGCCCAAGACCCAGAUCAGGUUCAAGAAACUCUGGACAAACCUCCAUCCUCACUGGAUCUCAGACGGUCCAAACCCAAAGAUGAG